UACGUAGGGGGCAAGCGUUGUCCGGAUUUAUUGGGCGUAAAGAGCGUGUAGGCGGCCAGAUAGGUCCGUUGUGAAAACUGGAGGCUUAACCUCCAGCGGUCGAUGGAAACCAUCUGGCUAGAGUCCGGAAGAGGAGAGUGGAAUUCAUGGUGUAGCAGUGAAAUGCGUAGAGAUCAUGAGGAAGACCAGUGGCGAAGGCGGGUCUCUGGACAGUUCCUGACACUGAGACACGAAGGCCAGGGAGCAAACGGG
rnacentral:rRNA from 1 species